GUGGUUCGAAUUCAUUUUUAACAGUGCUGUCUUUUCCUAUUUUUGAAAGAAAGCAACUUUUCACCCCCCCUUGACCCGCGCAUGGAUCGAAAGAGCGCUUGUUUUAGUCCAUCUUCGGAAAAUGUAGUUUCACUAGACGCUACGGGGCAGGAAUUCUCUUAGGAUAAGGGGAAUCGAAUUAAUUGUCAACAGUGCUGUCUUUUCCUAUGUUCUAAAGGAGGCACAUUUUCAUCUCUCCUUGACGCGAUGACGUUUUCCACAAAGGUUAAGGAAAAGAGGAAUAAAGCUAAGGAUAUUUGACAUUCCGUAGGCCCUGACGACGUUUUCCACAAAGAUUAAGGAAAGGAUGCAUAAAGUACGCGUAGCCUACUACGUACUCGCGGACUUGGAAGUUCGUACUUGGCAAGUCCGGACUUCAAGUAAACACUUCCGAGGACGGGAGUACGCACCUGCAAUUGGAAGCAGCGGACUCGAUGACGUCACCAGCUCAGCUCGUCUGUUAACUGUGCUACGGCCUCAUAUAUUUUGUGGCAGUCAGUGAGUCCCAAAAAUCUCAGUUCUGGCAAACUUCAAGAAGAGGGUGGCUAAACGCGAACCAAAAUUCAAGGACAACGAGCCCAAAGUGAGCAGUCUUCCUUUCAUCGACAAACCUUCAUCAACAAACAACUUUUACUGAUAUUUGUC
ensembl:lncRNA